rnacentral:sRNA from 1 species
GCCGUAUCGGUUCGAUAGGGAUACUCAUCAAAUUACUAUGAAAACAGGGCGUAUUUCCUGUACAAUGGCGGGCCACAACUCCUAAGGAGCAGUUUGGCAACAGACCGGUGGAUUACAAAGGCAGGAGAACCCCAUAUCUUCUAAAAAAGGAGUUUUCAUCACAUCACCGGUGCGGCCUCUUU